rnacentral:tRNA from 1 species
GGCUAUAUAGCUCAAUUGGUUAGAGCACAGCAUUCAUAACGCUGAGGUUAUGGGUUCAAUUCCCAUUGUAGCCA